AACUACUUACGGUUUUGAUUCCAUAUUCCUCGUUAGGAAAAUUUAAUAAAUCUAGUGUUUUGCACGGUGCAUGGCAAUGGAGUACAAAGUAACAGUGUUCUUUGUUGGGUGUUAUGGGUGUCGCCUGCUAACAUGGUGUUAGUCGGAUUACGGUGUGUUUUUUCCGACAAGAUGCAGAGUUUCGUUGUUUGCACUGCUUAAUUAGGGCUAGGAGGGUGGCUUUUUGGUCAUGCUAAUGGUUUUAUUGAGAGUUGUAUUUUAUUUUU
rnacentral:lncRNA from 1 species